UGUGAAAACAUGGGUUCUAACCCAAUUUUAGAUUUUUAUGAAAUUUUAACUGCUUUGUAGCAAGGCUGCAUCAGUCAUCUGGUAAUGUUCUCGUGUGUUCUGCUGGCCUGCACAGUGCAAGGACAAUUGGAGCGAAGUGUUCCCCCAGGGCAAGGGAACAUCAAUUUUUAGUACUCUCAGGUUCCCAGCUCUGAAAGUUGAGCUAAUCCGGAGGCAAUGCUGAAAGGCUUCAUCUGGCACUCCUUGCAAAGAAGGAUUUGUCAAAGAUAGUAAAGGAAUUUCUCCAGAAAUUACAGUAAGCCUCUUUUUGGAAGUAUUUUCCCACUCUGUAUUCUCAUGGAUAUAGGCAGAGAAAUUGUGUUCUUCGUGCUUUUAUCUGUUGAUACUAAUGUCAGUUCUACAGCAUGUACACUCACCAUAUCUAUCCAUACAGCGUGUCCCCUGCAGAGAGGUUGAGGAAGCAUUGAGAAGAGUGGCUGCUACCUUUUGGUCUCUGAAAGAUGAUUUAAACUUUUACCUCUUGACUCAGUCUUUCUUAUUUCUAAUUUUGUACACUCAAAAAAACUGUAUUUCCCUUGGAAGCUUGAAUCCCCUGAGUAUUAUCAUAGAAUCAUAGAAUGGCUUGGGUUGAAAAGGACCAUAACGAUCAUCUAGUUUCAACCCCCCUGCUGUGUGCAGGGUUGCCAAUCGCUAGACCAGGCUGCCCAGAGCCGCAUCCUGCCUGGCCUUAAAUUAUAUUAUGUUUAUAACUGAAUUGGGAUUUGCUCAUUUCCUUGUUUUGGUUUGCUUUUAAUUUUCUAGAAUUGUCUUUAAGUCACGGGAAGUGCACCCAUAGGCCUCAAUUACCCUAACCAGCCCCACCUGCAUCCCCACACCCACUGCCCAGGAUCCCCAUUUAAUAUCAGUCAUGGAUCUUUCCUUUUUCCUUGGUUCAGCUUUUAAACCAUUCAGCAGAAACUAUAAAGCUACAGUAUAUAGGUACAAUGUAUAUGAAAUGAAGAUUGAAUUGGCUUUAUCGUCCGUUUAAAUCUUUUUGACAUAGGCAAUAUUGUUAGAAUUAUAAUCAAAUACUGUAAAGCUAUUGAAUAUUACCAAACCAGAGAGUUGCAUUGUUUUUGUAGGUUGUAGCUAUCAGAUUCCAGUCAAGAGAAAUUUCAGUCUUGCCUAGCAUUUUCUGGCAAACAUAAUGUAUUUUAUUUGAUCAGCUGAAAGAUAAGAAAAAAGUGGAGAAGCUUUCAGGCACACAAGGCCUUAUUCAGCUUUGGAAUAGAAACAGUAGACUUCAAGGUUAAAUACGAAUUGAGGGAGGUUUUUCUUGAUCAACUUUGGAGCAUCCUGGAAUUUGCACACAGCAGCAGAGUGGCAAUAGUAGAUUUCACAACUGGGCUCUGCUGAUUCCUUUCAGUCUGCCUAAAUCCAUCAGUGGACAAGUGUUUUGUUGCCUACACCCAGAGACCAAAAAGUUUUAAGGUGGCCUAGCACUAUGGCCUGUGUCCCCUCGGAUCUCUACGAGCGUGCAAACGUGUUGGGGGAACCUUCCCAUUUCAAG